rnacentral:tRNA from 1 species
GGCUCGUUGGUGUAAUGGUAACAUUUCCGGCGUGGUACGCAGGAAGACAACGGUUCGAGUCCGUUACAGGCGA